AUUGAACGCUGGCGGCAUGCCUUACACAUGCAAGUCGAACGGCAGCACGGGAGCAAUCCUGGUGGCGAGUGGCGAACGGGUGAGUAAUAUAUCGGAACGUGCCCAGUCGUGGGGAUAACGUAGCGAAAGCUACGCUAAUACCGCAUACGAUCUAUGGAUGAAAGCGGGGGAUCGCAAGACCUCGCGCGAUUGGAGCGGCCGAUAUCAGAUUAGGUAGUUGGUGAGGUAAAGGCUCACCAAGCCGACGAUCUGUAGCUGGUCUGAGAGGACGACCAGCCACACUGGGACUGAGACACGGCCCAGACUCCUACGGGAGGCAGCAGUGGGGAAUUUUGGACAAUGGGCGCAAGCCUGAUCCAGCAAUGCCGCGUGCAGGAUGAAGGCCUUCGGUUGUAACUAGCUUUGUUACGGAACGAAACGGUACGGAG
rnacentral:rRNA from 1 species